GAUUAACGCUAGGCGCAGGCUUAACACAUGCAAGUCGAGGGGUAACAGGGAGGAGCUUGCUUUUCCGCUGACGACCGGCGCACGGGUGCGUAACGCGUAUAGAACCUACCUUUUACAGGGGAAUAGCCCAGAGAAAUUUGGAUUAAUGCCCCAUAGUAUUAUUGAAUGGCAUCAUUUAAUAAUUAAACAUUUAUGGGUAAAAGAUGGCUAUGCGUUCUAUUAGCUAGAUGGUAAGGUAACGGCUUACCAUGGCAACGAUAGAUAGGGGUCCUGAGAGGGAGAUCCCCCACACUGGUACUGAGACACGGACCAGACUCCUACGGGAGGCAGCAGUGAGGAAUAUUGGACAAUGGAGGCAACUCUGAUCCAGCCAUGCCGCGUGCAGGAAGACGGUCCUAUGGAUUGUAAACUGCUUUUAUAUAGGAAGAAACCUUUCCACGUGUGGAAAGCUGACGGUACUAUAAGAAUAAGCACCGGCUAACUCCGUGCCAGCAGCCGCGGUAAUACGGAGGGUGCAAGCGUUAUCCGGAAUCAUUGGGUUUAAAGGGUCCGUAGGCGGACUAAUAAGUCAGGGGUGAAAUCCAACAGCUUAACUGUUGAACUGCCUUUGAUACUGUUAGUCUUGAGUUAUAUGGAAGUAGAUAGAAUAUGUAGUGUAGCGGUGAAAUGC
rnacentral:rRNA from 1 species